rnacentral:rRNA from 1 species
AUUGAACGCUGGCGGCAUGCCUUACACAUGCAAGUCGAACGGUAACAGGUCUUCGGAUGCUGACGAGUGGCGAACGGGUGAGUAAUACAUCGGAACGUGCCUAGUAGUGGGGGAUAACUACUCGAAAGAGUGGCUAAUACCGCAUGAGAUCUACGGAUGAAAGCAGGGGAUCGCAAGACCUUGUGCUACUAGAGCGGCCGAUGGCAGAUUAGGUAGUUGGUGGGAUAAAAGCUUACCAAGCCGACGAUCUGUAGCUGGUCUGAGAGGACGAUCAGCAACACUGGGACUGGUACACGGCCCAGACUCCUACGGGAGGCAGCAGUGGGGAAUUUUGGACAAUGGGCGAAAGCCUGAUCCAGCAAUGCCGCGUGCAGGAUGAAGGCCUUCGGGUUGUAAACUGCUUUUGUACGGAACGAAAAGCCCCGGGUUAAUACCCUGGGGUCAUGACGGUACCGUAAGAAUAAGCACCGGCUAACUACGUGCCAGCCGCCGCGGUAA